AACGAACGCUGGCGGCGCGCCUAAUACAUGCAAGUCGAGCGAGAAGGUGUAGCAAUACACUUGUAAAGCGGCGAACGGGUGAGGAAUACAUGGGUGACCUACCAUUGAGUGGGGAAUAACCAGCCGAAAGGCUGGCUAAUACCGCGUACGCUUCCGGAUUUUCGAGUUCGGAAGGAAAGCGAUACCGUGGGUAUCGCGUUCUUUGAUGGGCUCAUGUCCUAUCAGCUUGUUGGAGGGUAACGGCCUACCAAGGCUUUGACGGGUAGCUGGUCUGAGAGGACGAUCAGCCACACUGGCACUGCGACACGGGCCAGACUCCUACGGGAGGCAGCAGUAAGGAAUAUUGCGCAAUGGGCGAAAGCCUGACGCAGCGACGCCGCGUGGGGGAUGAAGGU
rnacentral:rRNA from 1 species